rnacentral:rRNA from 1 species
UACGUAGGGUGCAAGCGUUGUCCGGAAUUAUUGGGCGUAAAGAGCUCGUAGGCGGUCUGUCACGUCGGGCGUGAAAAUCCAGGGCUUAACCCUGGACCUGCGUUCGAUACGGGCAGACUAGAGUUCGGUAGGGAGACUGGAAUUCCUGGUGUAGCGGUGAAAUGCGCAGAUAUCAGGAGGAACACCGGUGGCGAAGGCGGGGUCU